GAGCGGUAACAAGACAGAAAGGAUGGUGCCUCACAGGAUGCACGGGUGAUGGAGAGACAAGGAGAGGAGCUCGAUGGUGACUGUGAGAGUUGUGUCACAAACCUUGGAUUUGGAAGUGCUUCUAUGAGGUUAGUUUGCCACCAAAUUAUCUGAAAUCCAUCUGUCUGUUACAUUAACUCACUCAGAGCUUCAGGAUCAAGUUAUUUCUGGUUAGCUUCUAUCCUGUCAUUCCUUAUCUUGCAGAGGCUGCUCAUAUUUUUUGUGCCCUAUGUGAGGUGGUUCGCGUGUGUUUGUGUGUGUGUGCGGUGGUGCACGAAUGCAUUUUAGAGUCUUUUGCCCAUCCAAGCAGAAUAAUGGGUGUGAAGGCAGAGCUGUGGCACAAGAGAUCUCCAUUUUGAGGGGGAUAAAAUGCGGUGAGCCUGCAUUAUUCAGCACUGACCUAACAGAAAGGCUGGAUCCUGCACGCAGUUGUCGGCUCUGCCAGGCCUGGUGGAUAGGCGGUGGCAGCCGUAUGGAAGCAAGUUUGUUCAGUUCCUCCAGAACAGCUGGGAGAAAAGUCUGAUGCAGUAAAGAGGGCGGAGCUACGGGUGCAGAAGUUCCUCGCAUCAUGGAUUUGAGAGCUGUAUCUGAUGGGUCUGCAAACUGCAGCGCUGCAGUGUGACGUGAGACGUAUCAGAGAAGAAGACAGGGACGGACAAAAGGAGGAGGGAGGACGUAGGAAUGCAAAAACAUGAAUGAACUCAAAGAUUAAAGAGUUUUUG